UAGCCAUGGGUGUGGCCCUAAAAAAGACAAAAGACAAAAAAAAAAGAGAGAGAGAGAGAGAGCAAGGCAAAGGUAAUUUUUUUUCAUGUUGGCUCAAAGCUCCUAAAUAAUGUAAAACGGUUAAAUAUAGGUGUAUAAAUAUAGAGUUCUGGGUCCCUAAAAGAAAUAUGUAGAGCUUUUUUUUAAAUCAUAAUUUAAGGAAAUAAAUAGAUCAAAAUACGUAACACUUCCAGGAUAUAUCUCCUGAACUUCAUAAGAUCAAUACAUGAAUGCCAAUCUGCAGCUUGGCACAGCCAACUUAUUUUUUAUGACCCUAUCUUAUUUGAAAUUUAGUAUGAUUUGGAUAAUAUCACAAGAAAAAUGGCUAUUAUUUUUGUGAAUAUUGCAGUACUAGGCACACAAUUAGUAAACUGCAUUACAAAAUCAGGAUUUUAUUAAACACUCCAACAGGAUGAGGGAAAUGAGUCACAAUUAGCAGGUUAAAUGUCACAAGGUUCCAUGUAAAUCCUAUGCCUAAAUCAGAAAAAAAAAGAACGAAAUCCCAGAGGAAGACUUGACUUGACAGUCCUCAUGUAUAAAAGGCCUAUGAUCAAUUUAAAUGAAUUGAAAAUUCAACGUGAGUUAAUGAUAUGGCAUGGUUGCCGAUGACAUUAACCAAAGUUUAGGAGCUCCCCAAACUGAAGUAUUUGUUUUAAUAUUCUUUCAGCUGCUUCGCCACACUUGGCUUGUGGACAUCAGCUUUGGAUCACAAUCAUAAAACAAAUGACUGGACCAGAGGCUUUUCCUGAAUGAUGCACCCUUAUUGUUCUGCUUCAUGAUGAGAUCCUGCCCUGAGGUUGACUACGUAAUUUUCUUAGCAAUUUGGAGGAAGAUUGAAAUCUUGGCAAUUAAAUCUGACUUCCAGUGUUGCAAAGCCUGACCCGGAAAUAAAUGAUGCCUUCAAGAUCAUACUGGUUAGAGAUGGGAUUAAGAUGACAGAAUAGACGAGCUGGAGCUCAACUUCUCCCCUGAAAACAACAAAAUUCACAACUAAAGGUUGAGCAAUCUUCAACCAAAUUCACUGGAAACCUUAAAAAAGAUAU